AGAAUCAACGCUGGCGGCGUGCCUAACAUAUGCAAGUCGCACGAGAAAGGGGAGCAAUCCCUGAGUAAAGUGGCGCACGGGUGAGUAACACGUGAAUAAUCUACCUCCGAGUGGGGAAUAACUGAGAGAAAUCUUAGCUAAUACCGCAUAACACUUACGAGUCAAAGCAGCAAUGCGCUUGGAGAGGAGUUCGCGGCCGAUUAGUUAGUUGGCGGGGGUAAUGGCCCACCAAGCGAUGAUCGGUA
rnacentral:rRNA from 1 species